AUUAGUAGAUGUGAGCAUGAAGGUUUUUGUACAUCAGGUACAUCUGAUGACACACUGUGAUGCUUUUGACUACUGGGGGAAAGGAACACAAGUGACCGUCACAAGUACAGAACUUAAACCACCUGCAAAGCUUAUGAUGUCUGGGUGUAGUUCCUCCUCCGGAAUGCGUGGCUGUUUGGCCUCUGGGUUUUUUCCUGGAACAGAAGUCAGUUUCAAAUGGACAGAUCAAAAUGGAAAAGCUCUGACUGACGUCAUCCAGUAUCCUACAGUAACAACUGGAGAAAAAACGCUGAAAUUCAGUCACACCAAUGUUAAUGUAAAUGACAAUGUAAAAUGUGAACUAGUGCACUCAUUCAAAAAAGCACCAACCCUGACCUUGAUUCCCGUAACAACUCAGAAAAGUACAUCUGUCAUGUGUGUUAUUGAGGACUUCUACCCCGACAAUGUCACUGUACAAUGGAAAGUUAAUAAUAACAACAUGCAGCAACAGACAUACCAGGAUAAUAAAAAAAACAAAGAGACAGGCCUCUACAUAACACAGGAUCUUUAUAUAGUCAGCAGUGAGGCAUGGGACGAACAUACUAAUUAUACCUGUGAGGUCACACACAUGGGCCAAAUUAAAUCUGAGAAGAAAAACUUCAAAGCUACAAUGGCACUGACUCUGAAGACAAUACAGAGAGAAUUAUUUGUCCACAAUGAAGUAAUCUUGCAGGCUGUUGUUUCUGGAAAUGAACGUAACUCAGUGGAAAGUGCUUCAGUGUCAUGCAAAAUGGAGAAUGAAGCAAUACCAUUACAAAAAGAUGAUGUUCCAUCUCCCAAAGACAUUUCAGAGUUUCGGAUAAUCUACAAUGCCACUGUUAAUAAAGAAAAAUGGUUUGAAAGUAAAAGAAUCACCUGUAGCAUCAAUGACAAAAACAUCAAGCAAGAGAUCUAUUUUAAUAAAGGAGAUGCAAAGACACCAAAAGUUACCCUUUAUGAACAAAACGUUAACAACACAGAUCCUACACGUGUGUCUUUGGUCUGUGAGGUCACCAGUCCUAAACUUGGUGAUGUCUAUAUCAUGUGGAAAGAAGAUAAAGGAGACUAUAUAGAGGGUUAUACCAGUGCUCCAAUCCGUCGAAAGGACUCCACAUCUGUCAUCAGCAUUUAUGAAGUAUCUAAAGAAGAGUUUGCUAAAAACACAAUCUCCUGUGCAGUCAAACAUACCGGCAUGGACAAAGACAAGACGCCAAUAAUAAAAUCAACAACACAAAAUGAGCCUCCAGAACCUGAGACAGGCUUUGCAUUGCACUGCAAUGAAGAUGUUUUAGAGGAGGAUGAGUUCAGAAGUCUCUGGUCUACUGCCACAUCAUUCAUCUUCCUCUUCCUCUUUUCUCUGACCUACGGCGCUCUACUCAGUCUGUCUAAGAUGAAGCAGUGAGAAAUACCAAGCAUCAAAGUUUAAUUUCAGCAGUUAUUAUUUCAUUAUGAUCUCAGUAUUUGACAUGGUCUUUCUUAGUCAUAUUAAAGAUAUCAAGGUGAUAUUUUCACACAUUGUACUUCACAUUAUGUAGAAAACAGAAAAAAAAGACUUCAGCUUGGUCUUUGCAGCAGGGAUACGACUCAGAUGUUUUUAUUUUUCAUGUGGAAUAACUUAAUGAUAUAGGAAAUGGUGUUAUAUUGUCAAAGCUUUAACACAUUAUUUAAAGAUUUUGUAUAUUGGUAGUUGGUAGCUAGAAAUUAAAAUAUGGUAGACUACACACAUGCCAUAUUCUCUAGAGUGUGUAUCACUAUUAUCACAAAGCAUUUUUCUCUGCUUGAUGUGAUUAAAUUUACAGUUAUCUCAAUUACCUAUUAAUAAUGUUAUAUUAAUAAUGUUAUUGUGGAUUUAUGGACUGAACUGUAAACUGUAAAUCGCUGUAACACAUAAAUUCAC